GACGAACCGUGCGAACGUUGUUCGGAUUCACUGGGCUUAAAGGGCGCGUAGGCGGCUUGCCAAGUCAGGGGUGAAAUCUUUCGGCUCAACCGGAAAAUUGCUUUUGAUACUGGCAGGCUGGAGGGAGGUAGGGGCAGAUGGAACUUCCGGUGGAGCGGUGAAAUGCGUAGAUAUCGGAAGGAACGCCGGUGGCGAAAGCGAUCUGCUGGACCUUCACUGACGCUGAGGCGCGAAAGCCAGGGGAG
rnacentral:rRNA from 1 species